CUACGGGUGGCWGCAGUAGGGAAUCUUCCGCAAUGGGCGAAAGCCUGACGGAGCAAUGCCGCGUGAGUGAUGAAGGUUUUCGGAUCGUAAAGCUCUGUUGCCAGGGAAGAACGCUUGGGAGAGUAACUGCUCUCAAGGUGACGGUACCUGAGAAGAAAGCCCCGGCUAACUACGUGCCAGCAGCCGCGGUAAUACGUAGGGGGCAAGCGUUGUCCGGAAUUAUUGGGCGUAAAGCGCGCGCAGGCGGUCAUUUAAGUCUGGUGUUUAAUCCCGGGGCUCAACCCCGGAUCGCACUGGAAACUGGGUGACUUGAGUGCAGAAGAGGAGAGUGGAAUUCCACGUGUAGCGGUGAAAUGCGUAGAUAUGUGGAGGAACACCAGUGGCGAAGGCGACUCUCUGGGCUGUAACUGACGCUGAGGCGCGAAAGCGUGGGGAGCAAACAGGAUUAGAUACCCYAGUAGUCA
rnacentral:rRNA from 1 species